rnacentral:tRNA from 1 species
ACAAGGUAGCCGUAGGGGAACCUGCGGCUGGAUCACCUCCUUUCUAAGGAAGCCAAUUUUAGCAAGGGUGGCCGUAUGGCCGGCCCACGCAAAAUCCGCUUUUUAGAACAUAGAUGGCACCAGUCAGGUGACCAUCGAAACGCAAUACGCCGCGUCGACUACGGUCACGACGGUAUGGCGAGCUUUCGCCGUCCACGUUUCUCUUUCUUCAAGAAGACAAAAAGCCGCGUUGACCGGUUCCCCGAAUGGGCCCGUAGCUCAGUUGGUUAGAGCACACGCUUGAUAAGCGUGGGGUCGGUAGUUCAAGUCUACCCGGGCCCACCAUUUGCAUUUGCGAAUGAGGGUUGAGGGAUGACGGAUUUGCCGUUGGGCUUCCUGACGCGGAAAGUUGCCGAACCUGGGCUUGCCCGGGCGAUCGAGCUGAUGGGGCUGUAGCUCAGCUGGGAGAGCACCUGCUUUGCAAGCAGGGGGUCAGCGGUUCGAUCCCGCUCAGCUCCACCAAAUCGAUUGGUGUCGAGACUGACGGCAACGAAGCGUAGCGCAAGGCGCGUCGCCAAUCGUUUGGCGCCCUCGCGGAGCGCCUUCGGCGCGUGAGCGACAAGAAUUGUCUUCUGAAGAAAAACAAGGUUUGCAUCGUCCGAAGUGACGAUGCCUGUUCUGCAUAUAUCGUGAAGAGAAGAUUGAUCUGGAGGCUUCCAGGUGUUUUGGGUUUUGGCCCAAGGCGUCCGAAGCCGGUUCCAAUGAUGUCGUGGAUGGUCUAGCCGACCGGAAACGAAAGAGGAGCCGGACGUAGGAAGGAAGCUUGUCCCGAGGCAUUGUUGUUGUUUGAAGGCUUUGGCUUUCAUCUGACAGACGGUGCUGGAUUGGCGUUGCCUGACCGCGCGCCACCGGAUUUGAUCUCGAGAAGCUGGUCUUAAGACAGACUGCAAGCGAGCUGCUCGGCGUAGCUCCAAUAAAGCAGCUCUGUCGAACACGUCGAUGGCAUCAUGAAUUGUCCGGG